UACAGAGGUCUCAAGCGUUGUUCGGAUUCAUUGGGCGUAAAGGGUGCGUAGGCGGCGCGGUAAGUCGGGUGUGAAAUCUCGGGGCUUAACUCCGAAACUGCAUUCGACACUGCCGUGCUUGAGGACUGGAGAGGAGACUGGAAUUUACGGUGUAGCGGUGAAAUGCGUAGAUAUCGUAAGGAAGACCAGUGGCGAAGGCGGGUCUCUGGGCCGAUACUGACGCUGAGGAGCGAAAGCGUGGGGAGCGAACAGG
rnacentral:rRNA from 1 species